GGAAGCGGAGGGCAGGGGGUUUCCGGUUCCGAUGCCGGAUAGCAAUGGCGCCUCUGAGGCGCUACGUCCUGGUCUUCGGCGGCUUCGCUGCUGCGGUGGGGCUGACCCUCUACCCCAUCUUCUUUUACCCCAUGACCCACCUGGGGGACUACAAAAAGGCACAAAAUAUAAAUCGAGCCGGCAUUAUCCAAGAAGAUGUACAGCCUCCAGGAUUAAAAGUGUGGUCUGAUCCAUUUGGAAAAAAGUGAAAAGCUCUCUCUUGAAGAUGUGUGGAUUUCCCUUUUUGCCAUCCAUAAUACUCCAAGUCCUUUUUGACAACUGAAAUAAUGUAGAAAAAGGGUUUGGCAUGUCGGUUUGCAUUCAUGUAUAUAUGUAGUAAUUGCUAAUUUGCAAGCUUCUCUCUGAUCUAGAUGUGACAAAGAGAACUGUAUGGAAUCUUUUCUGUUAAGAAAAUGGAAUAAUUGUGUUUUCCUUUAUUGAGAGAAUAAAUAUUAUUUUGAUCUGCACAGAUUAAGCAGCUGACGUCUGUAUAAAAUAUGACAACAAUAAAGUAUAUUAUUAUAAAAAAAAAAACAAACCUGCUUCUAGAAUUGUGAGAAAUAAAGCUUUUUUAUAAUGUUCUACUACAGGAUAUGGGGCUCAGCAUUUUAGCCGUUCUUUAAAUGAAAAGGUGGACUGAGGAAAACAAUACUUAACUUCUGAAAAAGAUAUCCCAGAUAAACAUUGUAAUUUUUAGGCUUCAAGAAGAGAUGAUUUUUAAACAGAUUUAAUUUCUAAUUAAAAUGGUAUCAUUUGGGGCUCUGGGCUUUUAUAAUUAAUUCUUAAAUUAAGAGAAACUAUAUUUGUACUUUUCCUGUUAAAAAUAAAAAAUAUUUUAUUAUUCA